GGCCUCCCUCUGUGGGGCAAUCGAUCGCCGGGGCUUCGCCAUCGAUAGCCCAGCAGAGGGAGGCC
rfam:Myotis brandtii contig215614, whole genome shotgun sequence.